AACGACUCUCGGCAACGGAUAUCUCGGCUCUCGCAUCGAUGAAGAACGUAGCGAAAUGCGAUACUUGGUGUGAAUUGCAGAAUCCCGUGAACCAUCGAGUCUUUGAACGCAAGUUGCGCCCGAAGCCAUCAGGCCGAGGGCACGUCUGGCUGGGUGUCACACAGCA
rnacentral:rRNA from 8 species